ACGACCUUACUUGAACAGGAUCUGUUCUAUAGGCUCGUACCUCUGCUUCCUUGAUUUCUAAGGAGACAGGAAACCAAACCUGGUGGAGGAAAUAUGACCGUUCAAUCAGAGCGUGAUUAACGGCUAGAUCAUCUUCGGAUGCUCACGGCUGAAGAUGAUCGUUCUCAGCUGGUUAUCUCUAGCUGGGGUGGUUGCACGGUUGUCUGACAGGUU